UAGGGAAUCUUCGGCAAUGGACGGAAGUCUGACCGAGCAACGCCGCGUGAGUGAAGAAGGUUUUCGGAUCGUAAAGCUCUGUUGUAAGAGAAGAACGAGUGUGAGAGUGGAAAGUUCACACUGUGACGGUAGCUUACCAGAAAGGGACGGCUAACUACGUGCCAGCAGCCGCGGUAAUACGUAGGUCCCGAGCGUUGUCCGGAUUUAUUAGGCGUAAAGCGAGCGCAGGCGGUUAGAUAAGUCUGAAGUUAAAGGCUGUGGCUUAACCAUAGUACGCUUUGGAAACUGUUUAACUUGAGUGCAGAAGGGGAGAGUGGAAUUCCAUGUGUAGCGGUGAAAUGCGUAGAUAUAUGGAGGAACACCGGUGGCGAAAGCGGCUCUCUGGUCUGUAACUGACGCUGAGGCUCGAAAGCGUGGGGAGCGAACAGGAUUAGAUACCCUGGUAGUCCACGCCGUAAACGAUGAGUGCUAGGUGUUGGAUCCUUUCCGGGAUUCAGUGCCGCAGCUAACGCAUUAAGCACUCCGCCUGGGGAGUACGACCGCAAGGUUG
rnacentral:rRNA from 1 species